rnacentral:lncRNA from 1 species
UUAAUAUAAAUUAAAAGUCAUUCAUAAUCAUUAUAAUUCAUAUUCAUACACACAAAUACUUCACAAUGUUUACAAAAUCGAAAGUUUAGAACAAAUCCAUAUACUUAACAAUAUUCAUAAAAUUUAAAACAAAUCUAUCAGUUUGCUGAAAUAUCUGAUGGAGAAGUAGAAUCUACAGUUGUGUGAUGAUGAAAAUAUGUUUGCUUGUGGAGUAUGCUCUCGUGUUUCCUUUUGCAUCUCUGUUGCCUCAUGUCUUUCAUUCAUAGAGAGAUGCUGGCCAUACCCUCUACCUCUAAGAUAAUACUGUUCUUCUAGACAUAUGAAAAAAAAAUAUAUAUAUAAAUUUCAAUUAACAAUAAUUGUAAAUAAUAAUAAAACAUCAAAUAAUAAGUCUUUAAAAAUAUAUAAAAAUAAAUUUAUAUAAUAAGUAAAAAUAAAUUUCAGAUCCAUUAACAUUCUUGAAAGUCCCAACAGGGCAUUCCUGUUUUGCAAUUUAUAGCAAUUAACCAAAAAGCAUCUUUGACUAAUCCACUAACAAGGGAACAUUAAAAAUGCAAUCGAGAAACAGUAAGAACCUUGACUGAUUAUUUUAUAGAUCUAGCUAAGGUUUUUGGGCAUAGAGAUGUACAAAUACAUAUCCUUGGUCAUAAUAAUUUUUCAACACAAAUGGGAUUCUCAAUAUAGGGCAACCAGAAUGAGGAUAUAAAUAUAAUAAUAUAUCAAGGCCAGUGGUCCUAGAAAUUAUACAGGCAUAAGAUCAUAAGAUGUUCAAAAUAUUCAAAUGGUCCACGAGAAAUUGACAAGAUGGUAUUAGUAAAAAUACCUCGCAGAAUAUACCAUAAAGCCCUUUUGGACAGGCCCUUCCAGUAACAAUUUCAUUUCCACCAGAAUGACACUGACCUCUACCAAAUCCUCCCCUGCCAUCAGGUAAACGAAAAGCUUAAAUCAAUUGACUUCAAAAUAACCCAGCCAUGAGCAUUUUUAUAACAAAUAAGUGGGAGUGCAUAUGCGUGUAUAAACUAGGACAACCAAAACAUUCAAUAAAAUAUAAAUCAAAGAAGAUAAAAUAAUCAGAACUACUGUAUGGGAUAUACACUGCCUAAUAUAGACCAAGUCAGAAUGCUUCCAUUUGCAGUUGCAAUUGGCAGAUACUCAUCUCCAACUGAAAUAUCUGACCAAUGAAAGUGAAUCAUGAUAUGUUAAAAAAUAUCAAAAUUUUAAAUGCACAAAUUACAAGGAUAAAAAUUUAAGAUAAUAAUUAUUAAAAUAUAUUAAUUAAUUGUCAAAUAAAAUUAAUAAAACUCAAAAAAUUAACAAUUUAAAUAUAAUGAUAAGAUAUCAUGAUAAUUAUUUUAAUAUUUUUAAUUAAUAUUUAAAUUUAUUAUUUUAAUAAUCUUAUAAAAAAAAUUAAUUUAAAUAUUAUCAAAAUGAUUAAUUUUUAAAAAUUAUCCUACAUAAUUAUAAAAUAAAAUUAAUUAAACUCAUAAAUAAAAAAUUUAAAUAUACAUUAAUUUUAAAUGAUAAAUAUCUACAAUCAGUGAUAUAUGAAUAAUUUAUUUAUUUAAAUAAUAAAAUAAUUAUCUAUUUUAAAAUUUAAAUUUAGUUAUAAAUAUUUAAAUAAUAUAAAUGUAAAUUCAUAAUUUAAUUUUUUUUAAAUAAUAAAUAAUUACCUCAACAGCAAGCAGCUGCUUGCCCAGCAGCAGCUUGCUGCUGUGGGCAGCAGCUUGCUGCGCAGCUGCUGCUGGGCACGCAACUUGCUGCGCAGCAUGCUGCUGCGUGCCCAGCAGCUGCAGCUUGCUGCUUGCCCAGCAGCAGCUUGCUGCGCACAGCAGCAAGCUGCCCACAAUUUAUUUUUUUUUUUUUAAAUAUAAUUAGUAAAACUAAAAAUAAACUUUGAUUAACACAAAUUUAUAACUAAAUAAAUAAUAUUUUCACUAUAUCAUAACAUAUUCAAAAAUUAAAACUCAAAAUUUCAAUAAUAUAAUAAAAGAAACUAAAAAUCAAAGUAGACACUUACUUGAUAGGCAGUGGCGGAAGUGGCGGCAGUGGCGAGCGGCAACGCAGUAGUGGCGAGAGGAGCGUCCAGCAGUGGCGAGCGUUCAGCAGCGGCGACAGUGACGGGAUCAACGGCAGCGGCGGCGGCGGCGAUUUCGGUAAGGAGAAAGAACAGGAGAGGAGAGGAGAGNNN